rnacentral:lncRNA from 1 species
AGCUGGUUAGCUGUGUGUUCACCAGCUCCGAAUGGAAAACUGGGCAGCGGCCACCUCCUCUCGUGGGGCCCGGGUGUUGGGGAGAGGGCGUGAUGAGCACUAGGACCCAGCAGGAGUUUGGGUAGUUCUCGGGGUUUCAGCAGUCCCUCUGACACCACCAUAGCCCCGGGAGCAUGGAGCCUGGGCUACGGCCGAGAUCCGCUCGCAGGCAGCGUUCUGAAUAUUGAGCCGAACCAGAAUGAAAGGAUUAAGCGGGAGACUCUAACCCAACUGGAACGUCAGCCUGGGCCGAGGGGAGCCCCAGCAGGGGGGACAGAAGAUAAAAGGAGUUUUUUUGCCCCUCUUAAAAAAUGUCCACCUGGUUUUCGCAUUGAUUUACAGCAUGCAGUGAAAAUAGAAAAGCCCCAGACAGGAUCAAGGUACUGGGGCGGUCAGCUGUUAUUGGAUCCAGGUGUUUCCCAUAGCCCGGUAUUGUGCAGUGUGAAAAGAGACUGUUCUGUGCCCCGCAAGGUAAUGCCUCUGCUUUCUUCUAUUACAAACCCUAUUUUUGUUACUAUACAGACAUCUCUAGUCUUUCCCUCCUUCUACUUAGAAGGAAAAAAAAGAGGAAAAACAAACGUGGGGAAAUCAAAACAAUAUUCUCCCCCUCCC